UGGGGAAUAUUGCACAAUGGACGGAAGUCUGAUGCAGCGACGCCGCGUGGGGGAUGAAGGCUUUCGGGUUGUAAACUCCUUUCAGUACAGAAUAAGCUUUAUUGUCACGGUAUGUUCAGAAGAAGCGCCGGCUAACUACGUGCCAGCAGCCGCGGUAAUACGUAGGUGGCAAGCGUUGUCCGGAAUUAUUGGGCGUAAAGCGCGCGCAGGUGGUUUAGAAAGUCUGAUGUGAAAGCCCACGGCUCAACCGUGGAGGGUCAUUGGAAACUAAUAAACUUGAGUGCAGGAGAGAAAAGUGGAAUUCCUAGUGGAGCGGUGAAAUGCGUAGAGAUUAGGAGGAACACCGGUGGCGAAAGCGGCUUUUUGGCCUGCAACUGACACUGAGGCGCGAAAGCGUGGGGAGCAAACAGG
rnacentral:rRNA from 1 species